rnacentral:rRNA from 1 species
UACGUAGGGUGCAAGCGUUGUCCGGAAUUAUUGGGCGUAAAGCGCGCGCAGGCGGUCCUUUAAGUCUGAUGUGAAAGCCCACGGCUCAACCGUGGAGGGUCAUUGGAAACUGGGGGACUUGAGUACAGAAGAGAAGAGUGGAAUUCCACGUGUAGCGGUGAAAUGCGCAGAUAUCAGGAAGAACACCCGUGGCGAAGGCGGCUCUCUGGGACGGUACUGACGCUGAGACGCGAAAGCGUGGGGAGCGAACAGG